CCGAAUACAGUAACUUUCGUUCACGAUAUUUUCGGUGUCAAGGUGUACCAGAAGCCGUGCUACUAUCAUCAACCUGGCCUUCGUUUUGCGGUGAAACGUUAAUUCAUUCAUAGCACGCACCGCAAGGGCAAUAACCUGGCCAACCAUAAUUGCCAUCGAAAAAUCAGUUCUCGAUCAAUUACUCACACCGAUCGUUACGCCUAAAUAGCUUGUUACAAUACGCGGGUUGUUCGAACAGAUUCGAUCGGUUUGAUUAAAUCAACGGGAAAGAAACAAGCAAUUUAGCGGAUUAGUCGGCAAUUUUCUUGAUUUAUUUGUAAAUUUUGGAGUGUAUUUCGAGUAAAACUGAGUACGAAAUAUAUACGUAAGGAGAGCGAAGAUUAGAGGAAGAGUAUAGGAAGAGAUUUAUAGUUCUAUCUAAUGAAAGAGAGAUGAUUUUAAAGUCAUUGGAACGUGUCUACUUCAGAAGUGAACACAUAAAACAAGACUAUUUAAUUUUAUCUAAUAAGAUCCCUUUCCAAUCGUUUUAUUUCCAUCGUUUCGAAGCUAUAACUGGGAACAUUAGAUAUAUACGAGGCUCGUAAGAAAAGCGUAAUGAGCCUAUUUUAAUCUUCCGAUUUUAAUGUCGUUAUUAUUAAUUGACAGCAGGUUGGAAAGUAGAACAACCUGUUGGACUCACAGACUAUAAAAUACUAAACAUUAAGUUCAGGAAACUGCGUAAAAAAAAUAAUCAAAGGCGUUUCAAAUGAACGAUCUUUAAUACGCAGCUAAGCACGUUAUAGUUAAUUGGAAUUGAAACAAUAUGACCAGAAUACAUCAUCUAUAUUAGAAUAUGUAAUUAAUGGCUCAAUAAAAGUAAACAUUAAA